UUGAAUUGAGUGAUGGCUGCCUCCUUCUGCUUGUGGAGUGUCCGUGUAUGGGGCGCUGUUGAAGACAGAUAUGUCAUUUUCCCAAUAUCUCUUGUCCUGCUACUCUGCCUCAAGGCUUCAUCUGUACUUUGUGCUUAAAAAUUCCUUCUGAAAUCUGGCAUAUCUUUGAUCAAUAGUCCUAGCUUCUAACAUUGUUGAAAAUUUACAUUUGUUUUUGAGAUUUGCUAAGAAUUUCAUGGGAAAGUUGACAAAGGGUGUGGGGUGUGGUUUCUGAAUGCCCUUGGCUUUGGUGCCAGAAUUGGCAUCAAGGACUUGGCCCCAGUGACUCCCAGUGAAUGCAGAUGCUCCUUUGCAUUCACCUGACUGCAUGAUGUCAGCAGCUGCAGCCAUGGACAACUGAUGUCACUCAAGGCAAGGUGAGGGCAGAUCAGUCCCUCUUAACCACAAUUCUAUAUAUAAUAUUGAGAAGAUAUUUUUCAACGUACAGAAAGAAAGCCUAAUUGACAGCCAAGGGCUUAGCUGCUCUGAAGUUGUUAAUGAACAAGAUAAUAACAGGUUUUACUUUUUGCAAUGGUAUAAUUUUUCCUCUAAAAAUUUCAGCUAAUUUUUGGGUUGUGAUAAAAGAAUAAGUCCCUUAAUGUUAGGUGAUUAAUUUAUGCUACACCAGAUCAUAUGGCAUAUAGUGACUGCAAAUGAUCUAAUUCUCAAAGGCAGUUUUUCAGAAGGAGCAGAAAAGGCAAGUCAGGGUUAGCAAAGUCCAGGCAGAGACCUGGACUAUACUGAACUAUACUGUUUAGAUUAAAAAUACUGAAUUAUUUAAAAAAUGAAUGUUUUAGCAAAUGAGCACAGUUUUAUAUGGUGAGAAUGAAGUUAGUAGUUUGUGAUUGUUUGGCUAGCCAUGGAGAACCUUCUAUUCCAAAUGAGGAGUUUAUCUAGUCAUGAUGAAAUAUUUUGGGGAAGAGGGGUAAAGUAGAAAAAAAUUAACAAUAGGUUUAAAAAAUCUUUCAUAUAACAUAUUUUCUUCUUAAUUCUUGGAGGGCAAAGCACCCAUCACUGCCUGUUACACUGAUUUAGAUAAGCCCUAGAUGUCUAAUUCCCAAGCAUAAAACAUUCUGAUGUCUCAUGGUAUCUUGCCACUCAAAAUGUGGUCAAGAGGCUAGUAGUAUCUUAUCACUUGGGAGCUAGUUAAAAAUGUAGGACCCGUACAUUCAGCAAGUAGUUGGUCUGUGUGCUGUGAGUGAGGGUCUGAGUCACCUGCCAUUUUGCUGGAGGAGCCCCUUGGGCCUUAGUAAACAUUUACAAUGUCUUUCAUCUUUGAGUGGAUCUACCGAGGCUUCAGCAGUGUGCCCCAGUUCCUAGGACUUGACAAGAAAUCUGGAAAACUUGGGUUCUUAGGUGUAAACAAUACAGGCAAAACAAUUCUUCUUCACAUGAUCAAAGAUGACAGAUUGGGCCAACAUAUUCCAACACUACAUCUGACAUCAGAAGAGCUAACAAUUGCUGGAAUGACUUUUACAACUUUUCACCUUGGUCGGCACGAGCAAGCAUGCCGGGUUUGGAAAAAUUGUCUCCCAGCAAUGAAUGGGAUUGUCUUUCUGGUGGACUGUGCAGAUCUUUCUUACCUUAUGGAAUCCAAAGUUGAGCUUAAUGCUUUAAUGACUGAUGAAACAAUAUCCAAUGUGCCAAUCCUUAUCUUGGGUAACAAAAUUGACAGAACAGAUACAAUCAAUGCAGAAAAACUCCAUGAGAUAUUUGAGCUUUAUGGACAGACCACAAGAAAGGGUAAUGUGACCCUGAAAGAGCUGAAUGUUCACCCUGUGGAAGUGUUCAUGUGCAGUGCACUCAAGAGGCAAGCCUACAGGGAGGGUUUCUGAAGUUUUGACAGUGAAAAUAAGAGUAUUACUUCUCUGGACUGAUCAUAUUCACAGCUUCCUCAUGAACUUUCCUAAUAGAACAAGGAAAGCUCUCCAACCAUGUCUGGCAUUGUGAAGCCUAGAGUCUCUGUCAACUUUCUCAUCACCCAGCGGUGACAUGUGCUCUUCUCCACACCGUUGGGAGGUAAUGCUUUCCCAUGUGCAGUAUUCUGGUCAGUAUCCUGGGACUUGGAAGUUGGCAGGAUUUGCCAGGUAAAGCUAUGUGCCAUUGUGGGGCACCUGAAAAGAAAAUACGUCUCACCACUGUAAUUGAUUUCAAAAGAAAGCAAUUCUAUUUUUUAAAGAAAGUGUUGUUAAUGUAAUUGCUAUCCCUCCUCACAUUUUUAGUUCAAGUUUACUUGGUCUAGAGUUCUCUAUUCUUUUUUAUUAACUAAUGAAUGAUACUUAGAUACUUCAUAAAAUUAAGCGCAGAUACACAUUGGAGACCAGAGCUCAUCUGGGUGGACUUACUCCUGCUGAGUUAGCAGGUUGGUGAGAGAAACUCCCACGAGCACACCUGUCUCUCUAACUGCCUUGGAGUAGGUGGCAUUAUCUCACCCACACAGAACUAGAAAAGGGACAGAACUCUGGCCUUGCAGUUGUGGCAGGUUUCACUGUGGUAAGCUAGGGUCACUCCUCAUCGGGGAAUGUGAAGCAGAUUGUUCACUGUGGAGGAGUUAAUUAUAGACUGGGUUAUUCUUACUUAUAAAGUUACAGAUUUCAGCCAGUCUCUGCUUUUGUACUUUUGUGAAAUUUUAUUUCUCUCUAUAGCACCUUUUUCACUUUUGGUUAUAAAAAGUGACUUUCACUUUUUAAAAGAGUUGAGAACAUCUCUCGUGUCACAUACUGCAGGUGUGUCAGUUACUUUUACAUAGAUUCUAGAGGGAAAUUUUUCUAAAUAGGGAGACAGGACAAAAUUUACAGUUUAAGGGCUCUUGAUUCUGUGAAUUGAGAACUGAAAAGUAUUGUGGUACUUGUUUGGAUCCAGAAAAUUUUACUCAGUGAGCUUUAAAACCUCCAUUUGUGAAUUUGGCCUCUAUUGGGCUGUUCAUGAACUCUUUUUCUUACAUCUUGUCUCCUUAGAUAUCUGUGUUGUUGGUAUUAAAGUAUCAGUUAACAUCUGUAGCUUUUCCAGGUUUGUGUGUUUGUUUGUUUGUUUGUUUUGGUAUGGAAUUGCCUUUCUCCAUUGCAGAAAUAAGCUGGGGGAAACACUAAUCCAAAAACUUUCUGUAGAGCUGUUCCUUGGGAGACAGCAUCACUUAUUGGCAGUAAAGACUCUGCAUAAAAGCACCAGCAUCCCUACCAGGGUGAUGAGGUUUAAUUUUAUAGCAUUCUAUUUUCCUUGUACCACACGUAAAAUUGAAUUUUGGUGAUCUUAACCUAUAUUCUACCCUUAUAGUAAAAGAUCAAACGAUAGAUCUCCCAGGAAAAGAUAACAUAGGAGAUGAAAAGUUGGGAGGAUAUCUGUAUUCUAAUGUGAGGGUAGGGAAAGUGUGGAUAAUGUAUUUCCAGGAUAACAGAGUAUCCUUCUUUAGUUGCAGUUUUCAUUCUCAGUCUUCAGUACUGACUUGUUGGGAAAGCGUACUUUUUCACUGCCGGGUACCGAAUGCAGAGACUCAAUGAAGUAUAUGUCUGGGAUGUUCGUGCAUUUCACUUAUUAGUAAGCAUGGCUGGAUUGAGACAAUUGUUGAUUUGGAAAGGGGUUAAAAUCUUAAGCGAAAAUAAUCUAAUAGUGAAUGAACUGUGUAAUUAACUUGGAUAUUUUUAAUUUCCUAUGGCUAAAGGUUCCCCAUACUUCUCUAUUCAGAGACAUGAGAAGUAUGAUUGCUUCAGUGUUAGUUUUCCUCCUUUUUUGUCCCCAUUUGUCUCUAGUCACUUUGUUGCAAGCUAGAAAACUGGGGGUUCUCCAUAGGACAGCUCUUUGUGAAAGUGUUUUAUCCCACUGGAGAAAGGGGAUUGAAAAUCAGUUAGGACCAGUGUAUUUCUUGUCCCACAGAACACUAUUCCUAUAAUAAAAUAGCUGAAAGAAGCUGCUGUGUGGAGCUUUGGCACCUUGUACAGGAAUUCCAGUGAAUUCAGACUUUUCAUUCUGUUUUAUCAGGAUACAUGUAUGUCCUAUUUCAGGAAAAGUAAAAUCGUCAUUUACAAAAGAAUGUCAAUCUGUAUCCUAAACAUUUAUAUAAAAAGUUAAAACAAAGCAAAAGUGUAGAGCCUUUGACAGCACCUACAUCUACUGAACCAGAGCCUUAUUUUACCAGAUCCCCUGGUAUACUGGUAUUGGAGAAGCACGGACAUGGCCUCUGAGAGUAGGGAUGGUAUGAAAGCGAGAAGGCGAAACUGAUCAUCUUAUUUCAAGACACUGUGGCGAUUAUGCGGUUUAAAUAUCUUUAUUACUUUAUUACUUUUAGGUUUGGCUUACUUGGCUUACUUUUCAGGCUCAGCCUUCUUCACUGUGAAUUACACACAUCCAAAGCUUUCCAUGUACUUCUUUCUAACAGUGACUUCACCCAUGCCUGAAUUUUCACUAUUAGAAGCAUUUUUUUUUUGCAUUAAGUGUGGGCAGAGGUUAAAAUAGUCAUGUAUUCCCUAAAAUAGAUAAUGCAUUAUGCUGUUUUCAUGAAAGGCAAGACUUGUUCUAGUCCUUGUGUGUGUGUGUGUGUUUGUGUGUGUGUGUGUGUGUGUAUGUGUGUGUGUUGAAAUAAUCAUGAAGCAGGGACUAAAGAAAUUUGAAUCAAAAGUUUGCAUCUGGAGAAGGGACAAAUCUGAGACAUGAAGCAUGGCAGUGAGGACCAUGGGCAGCAGAGGGCAAGGAACAGCCUGGGAAAUCUAGCUGUGAGGGAUUAACACAGGAAAGGUGGGAGACACAUCUCAGAAACAGUUGACUUGGGGUCCGCUCCAACACUGUCUACUUAGUGUAUAUAAAUUGUUCAAAUAACACAUUUGAUUCCCUCCGCAACUCUUUCCUGGGACAAAUAUCACUCAGAAUCUUCCCAUCUGAAUUCCAGAAGAGUUAAACACAGCAUCACCUUCAGAAAAUUCUUUCAUCUAAAUGGAGUAUCUAAAAUGUCUUCUAUUUAACUUUUUGAUUCUGUACAAGAGUAAUGCUUUAAGAUUACUAUGUAAAUAAACAAGCUGAAAACUAGAUGCGCCAGUGACAGCUUUAAUAAUCCAAUCCUUUUUAAAUUUUGUA